AAGGGUCAAUCCCUCACCUCCCUCAGAGUGGGAAAUUGGAAAUUCCUAGCAAGUUCUAGACCCCGGCAAUUUUCAUAGAAGUCAGAUAGGCUCCCAGCCUGUAUAGAAUAACAAAACAACAUAAGAAUGAAUAAAAUGCAUCACCCCCAUACUUUAUGGAACCAAGAUAUACUCCACAAAAUAAUUGUCCAGGCUUUGGAGCUACCUGUUGGCCUGCCCUCCUGUAAAUUUCAAGGGCUUUGAGUGCUUCAUGUCUUGGCAUCUCAAAAAACUGAACACAUGAAAAAGGAAAUUACACAUGUGCAGAUUGUUGAUCAUUAUAAAGUACUACUGGAAGAACAGCUUUUACCUUAUCAACAAGGUUAAUAAUCCCAUCGUUUAUUGCACAAUAUAUUUUGAAGCUCUCUUUUAGCACCUGUGAAAAAAUAGGCCACACUACUUAGCCAUUCCUCUAUUAGCCCAAUCAACAAUGUGGAUAUUGGUGUUCAGAUAAAUAUAGGAUGAGUUUUUACUUUUUUAAGCUGGUAAGAGUACAUGAUAUAUUCUUGUUUGAUUAUUUGGAUGGAACAAAAAUAUACAAAAGUGAACACAAACAAUUUGUUGGUUCAAAGAUAAUUUCAGGAAAUUAAAGCAAGUUUAUAAUCGAAAAUUUCCACAUAAGGCAGCUAACUACUAACGUCAAUGAAUGAUACAGACACCUAUCCUUCUAUCCAUAUGCUUCAAGCCUUCAACAGGGUGUAUUUUCAUUAGCAAAGGGUGGAUGGAUAAAGGCAAUUAUUGUGAUGCAAUGGUAUCUAAAAAAUUGCACCAUUUUCACCAAUGCCAUUUUAGAUUGUUAACAAGCUGAUACUGAGAACUGAAUUUACAAAAAGAACAACCUUCAGGUGAAAUCAAAUCUUUAUUUUAAGCUUAGAAGAAACAUAUAAUAGAGAAUAGAGUGAAAACAAAUUAUACGGAGUACAACUAAAAAUAUAUAUAACUUACCAAAGCUAGAGCAUAUUGCACCAAGUAGUUAUUAUUUGCAGCUCCUUCCGGCUGCAAUGACAAAAGCAAACAAUGAUAUGUAUACAUAGAGCAGAAAAUGAUUGAAAAUGAGUGUGUGUCAUAUCUAAUAUGUAUUGGCAUGGAGUAUGGAGAUAAUCACCCGACAUCCAACAAGUCGAUAUAGUAACUGCUGCAAAGCUGGCAACUGCUCUAACAGAUCCUGGGACUCCAAUUCUCUGGUUCUGCUGUGCCCCUGAUGAUAAAACAUAAUUAGGUGAAGCAUGGACAAUCUUGUAUUGGUAGAGAAGUGUAAUACAUCUGAUCCUCAAAACUGAUCAGUUAUACCAAGGUUGGGAUUGUAGUGUUUCAGACCUUUUCAGGACCUUGACCUUGUUUGGACAAACGUUCAGCUUCAACGUCAUACUUGAGGACCCUGAAGCAUUCCAAUCUUUCCUCCAGAAACAGACCAUAUGUACGAACCCAUGCAGAACAGUCCCAAGCUGGACAGUACUCAAUAUUACACAGGGAAAUAAAGAGGAAACAAGCAUGUCAGCAGCAACUUCCAGUCACCUAGAUAAAAUACUAACCAAUUGGACUGGAGUCAUCCUUGAAGUUUGAGAGCUGCAAAAUACGCCCCCUCUGUGCAAAAUUAAGAAGCUCUUCUCGAAAAGUAGGGUCACCCUCUCGAAGAAGUCUAUGGAUCACUACAAGUGUUUUCAAGGCUACCUGCAUGUUACAAAAAACAAAGAAAAAUCAACUAAUCAGCUCCUGUGUAUGAUUUUCUUUUCCUUACAUUCUAGGGCUUUCUCUUUUGCAAGCAUAAGAUUUAAAUUUGCUAAUUAGACCGGACGCACAAUAGUGACAUAUGGCUGUGAGAACAAGGAAUUAAUGAAUUGAAUAGUGGACUUGGCAACAAAGAAUUACUGAUGCUCAAUUAACACUGAAAUUUUAGCAUAGCACUUUUGACUCUAGCAAUGAGUAUGAUUUUCCUUUCUUUUAUUGCAUUAACAUUAAUAGCUAAUAUCUUCAUGCAAAAGAUGUAACUUUGAAAAUCAAUAGCUAGAUUCCGAAACGCGGCAAGCAAGUGAUCUUAAGGAUUGGAACAAUGCAAAUUCAUAGCCUGCUCAGUAAACAUGUAGGAUUAUAUAUUUAUUUUGUCAUUAUUAUUUAUUUAGAAGAGGGGGCAAUCCUCAGUUUCAUUUCAAAAAACUACAUAAAUUAGCAAGACUAAAAUAUGUAGCUGGUACUGUACAACUAUAAAUUAGCAUAUAGUGUCUAUUUUUAAAUGUCCAGACCAAAAUCCUAAGCAGUAUGACACCCAGGAAAGACCUAGAACGGAAUUACUGUCAACAUGCCUAGAAAGCUCCUGAAGAUGAACAUAUCAGCAGAAAAUCCAUUGGUAUCAACGCACAACAGGGCCCAGUCAGAACUUGACUCCACUGAACUUCUUGUGAGAAAUUAUGACGAUCGGUCUAUGUUACUGGAAGCUAUAGGACAGUAAUACUAACCGACUUGUAGAAAUUACUUGAAUCAUGGAAUCAGCCUAGAUAAUGUUUCAAGUUAUAGAUUUUUUAAGCCAUCCAUACGAAGAGCAGUCAUUAAUAUUAUAAGAAACGUCUACAUAGCAUCAGCCAGACUAUUAGCAGCAUAGCAGCAUCCAGGAGCACGAUAGAUAUAUUAUCUGAAUCAACACAAUAGGUCAUCCAUACAACUGUUCAUGGAAACAACACAUAAUCUUGAAACAUAUAGGCAUAUACUAUCAACUCAACAGUCAGACACAAGCAUCACUUUUGUAGUCUCGUUAUACAGGACAGUAUGGUACCAUUCGAACAUCCACAAUGCAUACAAUUAACCCAUCAUCCCAAAACAACAUCAAAAGAGAUGAUAAACAUGGAAGAUAGUGUUGCACUUACAAUCCAAUUGCGUGUUUUUGCAAGCCGGCGGGAAAGCGCGUGGAUACAAUAGGCGACGUCUGCCCGAGGCCGAGCGAUGGACGUCGCGGCAACAAUCUCUGCAACAACAGCAUACACGCCAUCAAACACGGAAAACACCACCCGAGGCCAACCGAAAAAUAGAACCCUAAUAGCCUCCCCUCUCAGGAGCCUCCCCACUUUCAGGCACGAUCUAAUUAUAAAACCCCAGUAAUGCCUAAUUAAUCAAAAACCUAAUACACGGAAAUAUACGGUGUGAGAACGAAUCAACGCACUGCGCAGGUGGCGCUCCUUGGGAGGGCACUCCACGUGGUUAGUCGCCUUCACGAUCGCCACAUCCAGAUCCUACAAAAAGCACACGCCCAAACGAAUUUCCAAUCAGAACCACACAGAUCUAAAAGCCUCCACACCACAUCAAAAAAAAUCUAGGGUUCCCACGAAUCGGCCAAACUCGGCCAGAAGGGGAGAGAAAAAAAAAAUCCAUCCCCCGGGAGUUCC
rnacentral:sRNA from 1 species